CUGAGCAUCUAGAUGCAAAGCAAAGACAAUCAGAUAUGCAUGUUAUUGAAGCAAAAUCUAUUGAAGACAUAGGCUUGGCUUUUAGCGAGCUUUCACAUAACACCAGCAAGAAAACCCAAGAAAUUAGUGAAGAAAGUCAUCACAAACCUAUACAUCAAGAAGUUGGAUCUCCAAAUUUUGAGGGUACAGAGCAUCUGGAUGCGAAGAAAAUACAAUCAGAUCUGCAUGUUGUUGAAGCAAAAUCUAUUGAUGACAUAGGUUUGGCUUUUACUGAGCUUUCGCACAGCACCAGAAAGAAAGCCCAAGAAAUCAGUGAAGUCAAUCUUCACAAACCUAUAUAUCAAGAAGUUGGAUCUCAAAAUUUCAAGGGUGCUGAGCAUCUGGAUGCAAAGCAUAUACAAUCAGAUCUGCAUGUUAUUGAAGCAAAAUCUAUUGAAGACAUAGGCUUGGCUUUUAGUGGGCUCUCACAUAACACCAGCAAGAAAGCCCAAGAAAUUAACGAAGAAAGUCUUCACAAACCUGUAUAUCAAGAAGUUGGAUCUCCAAAUUUC
rnacentral:lncRNA from 1 species